AUCCCGGUCUGGGAGGCGCCCGCGCAGCUAGGCUCAGACUUCCGGAUCCCGGUCUGGGAGGCGCCCGCGCAGCUAGGCUCAGACUUCCGGAUCCCGGGCUGGGAGGUGCCCGACUCCGCCCACUGUGCGUUCUCCGCUGGGGGCGUGCUUCUGACUGACAGCUUGCACCUGCCCGUCCCUUCCUCGCUGCCACGCUGGCCCCGCCCCCUGGCUGCCCCGUAGGUGAGGAAAUAGUGGAGGAGAUAGAGGGAGGACAGCGAAGUGACAGGGAAGAAGCGGCGGGUCGACUGGUGAGGCCAUAUACCCUGCUUGCAAGCCAAAAUUUUGUCUGCGUGCAUCUGUCUGGGGUUAAAUAUGCGCGCUCCCAAACCUCAGUAACCAGGCAGUCACCAUGCCCGAAUCAGACAAGGGUGGGGGAUGGUGUCUUUGCCUGGAAGUUGGGGACCGCAGGGUGUGAGAAAAUGGCCGCCUGGGUCACAUGUCUGGCCGAGUAUUCCCCACCUGAAGUGAAUUGGUUAGCUGUUCACAACGACCUUCCCGGGUCCUUGGGCCCCAGACAAUCCCUGAGCACUCCCAGCUCUUUCUGCAUACGUUCAGAUCUAUGGCCAGACCCAAUCUGAGCUGGAGCAGGAGCCAGAACAACUUAGAAGCCUCUCCUACCCGUCUGCCUUCCUGCCCUCCUACUCCGUCCUUCCGUCAGUCAUGGAGCAUUGUCCGCAGAAGGGAAUGAAUUUACAUCUCUGGAUUGGGGCAAGUAAGGGUUUCCGAAACCAUCUCGGAGCUGGCUGGGAAGUGAGAUCUCCCCCGGAAAACGGUUGGUUGCAAGAAUGCUGGGAAGGAAAACUCAGGGAAAGGGACCCAGACGUCCAACAUGCAGCGUUGGUGUGGGUCAGGCACGGCCAAGUGAUGGAGGGAUGUUGUUAAGGAUGUGGUUGGUGACAUCCCACAGCGUUUCCUUUAUGAUGACCUGACCUGCCGAAGACACAUUUCUCUCCCCUCAGAAUGAUGCUUGACAACUUUUCUCCUGAGCAGCUGCGUAGCUGACAUCUUGUAGGUACUGUAAAUGGUGGCCCGUCCCAUGUGUACCUAUACGGUAGGGUUCUCAAACCUUACUGCACAUCGGAGUCAUCCAGGGAGGUAUUUAAAUGCCAGUUUCCAGGCUUACUCCAGACUAAUUGCAUCAGAAUCUCAAGAGGGGGAUUGGCAUUUUUAAAAAGUUUUCUGGGUGACCCAAUGUGCAGCCAGUUUUGAAAAAAACUAAAAAGGCUUAUUUAAUCAGGGAACCUCUGAAGGCACCUGCUUUCUGUCAAAUAUAUAUUUUUAAAUGUAUAUACUAGCUUAUGAUCAUUAAAUAAAUGGUUAGAAAUCGUCAUCUUUUAGAGUAAAAUUAAAUCAUUCUUACAGCUUCCUCCUGUGAUAAUGUGCUACUUUGGACUUUCCAAGAAGCAGACACCGAGUUGGAAUUAGAUGUGCGAGAAAUUUACCAACAUAAUGCCUGGGAGGGAAAACAGGAAGCUAGGAAGGGCUGUGACAGAUGACGGUGCCAG